AAUAAUUGAUUUUAAUAUUUUAAUUAAAUUUUUAUUAAUAUAUUGGUUUAAUAAUAAUUGAUUUUAAUAUUGAUUUUGCCCGGCGCCAUCUAUUAAUCACUUACCUUACUAGCUCAGUUAUAAAGUGAAUUCUGCAUGAGAUCUCCUAUCUGUGGAGGUGUGAGAAAAGAUUUCUGAAAUAUCAACUAAACAAACGACACAAAAAUACAGCUAUAUGAAAUGGUUGAUAAAUAACAAAAGACUGUCGAAUAUUGUACACGAAUUUGGAAAUAUAUUGAAAAUAAAGGCUUUGUUAUGCAACAUCAAAAAUACAAGGUUAUCUAGUCGAAAGUCUGAAGGAAGAAAUAUGAUGCAAUGAAUUUAACUAUAUAAAAAAAAUAAAAGUAUUUGACAAAAAUUUAAGUCGAAGAUAACCCAAAAUUAUCUUGAAUAUUCAAAAUUUGUUAUAUUAAAGCUAGAAAAUGAAAAACAUUGACUUUAGAUCAUGAUCAAUUAAAAAUAUAAACUGUUCAGUACAACCUUUCACGAUGUAAUAUGAAGAUAAACCAAACUGCUAUGAAGUCUCUUCGGAUCCAAGACGAAACCAACUGCUUCUCUUUCACUGGAACAAUGUUCUAAACAUGGUAGAUACCCGCAUCGGAAUACUUUUUCACUUUUCUUAUAAAGUUGAGGGUCAUUUUUGAAAAUUUUUUCUUCACCAUGAAGAUUAUUUAUACAGAUUAAUGUCUAUUUCAACAUAAUUUCACAAAUCUAUACAUGCAGCUAAAUGAUGCAAGACGUAUCACCUUAACGAAGUUCCUUUCGAAGUGACUUUUGGAAACAUGGAACCUUUUGAUGAUUCUUACGAACAAAUAAGGCUAUUGUAUGAUAAAAAUAGAAGUAAUUCUCAGGUAAAACUCAAAAUUCAAAUUAUUAUAUAUUCUAUUUACUAAUUUCUAAUUUAUAUGUCAUUGAAAUAUCAUCUUUGAUAUAGGAUUACCUAUUUUGAUUUCUUAUGUAAUUCUACCUUUAUACACUUAAAUAAAACCAUCUUAUAAC
rnacentral:lncRNA from 1 species